rnacentral:lncRNA from 1 species
GGGCCUUCUCAGAAGGAUGCUCGUGCCUGCUCCACUCCCUCUGCCGGGAUGAGCUGAUGUGCUCGCCCACUUCUCACCCUGCCAUCAGAUAUAAAUAAUUCUCACCUGAAGAGGUGAAAGGACGGUCAGUAACAGAAAGGUUAGGAAAGGCGGGGACCUAGAAUUCCACAUAGGCCAUUAGCUCUGUGCAGGUUACCUCGCUCACCGGCUCCGCCCGUACAGUUAAGGAGACGAUCUCAGGCUAAAUUCAGUUCACCCCUGCAGUUAGUGAAUGUUGGCUAUUAUGAUUAUUGAGUUGCCUGGACCUCAAGGAGAUGCCACGUCUGAGCCACAGAGGACCACGGUUGGCUGAAGGACCGCAAAGCAGAAAGGCCGUCAGGCAGGAAAAGCAGGCUGGAUACAAGAACUGGAAGAAGGCCACGGUGUGGCAGGAGUGGUGACACGUGGACUGGGCUCCAGGCUGACAGCCCCCGCCUUUCUCCUGGAGUAAGCAGAGCUGCGAGUGGAUUUGCGUUUCUGAUGGCUUCCUCAGGCUACAGAGAGGAGAAUGGGUUAUGGAGGAAAAGCUUGAGGCCUUCGGCAGUGAUGUUUCUCUGAGGAGCCUGCCCGACGUCUGUGUCAUGUCUUCACACUCUGGCUGGUCGCUCUGGGACCUAUUUCCCGUCCCGUAGAACAUCUUGGCACACACAUCCCUCCAAAUUUAUUUUCGUUUUCAAGCAUAUGCGAGCAGCCCCUGCAGCAGGCACGACAACUUCUAUCAACAUUUGGUUCUCAUCUUCCUCCAGACCCACUGAUGGACCAGGCGUCUCCAUCCCCAUAAAAUGAGGCAUCACUCCGUGACUUGCUUUGGCCAAAGAAACGUGGUGGGAAGCCAUGUGUGCACAUGUGAUCCCUGAUGCUCGUCUGUCCAGCUCUUCGCUUGGGUCCCACGGUGACAAUGGGAGUAAGUGUUGACAUAAAGGGGCUGAAGGGUUCAGGCAGCUUGGAAUGCUGAACCAUCACAGAGAGGAGCGAUGGGCUGCGCAGCCACUGGAGCCACAGCAGAGUUUGCACAAGCAGGAAAGAAAGUCCCGCCGCGUGGAGACACUGGGACCUGAAGCUGUGUCUCAUGCGCAUGAGCUGCGCCCGCCUGUCCUGACUGGUGGAGCCCUCUUCACUGAACCAGAGCCUGAGUUCACCCCGACCCUAAACAGGCGUCUGAAAUUAUACUGGCUUGAGAAAGCAGGAGUGUUUGAAAAUGUCCCAUUUGAAAAACUAACAACCCACCAUAAAAUAGGAAGCAAAACAAAACAAGAAUUUACACAAGCAAACCAUUUUUGUGAGAUUGCAUUCUUUUGUUGAUAUGUUUCAAUCACUUCCAGAUGCAUCAAUCCAUUGUAAUUCAGAAGGGUUUUUUUAUUCCCUUGCCGCGCAUCUGGGCAGAAUGGAAAACAAAUUUGCGUAAGUGGUGGAAAUACGUCAUCUACAACAGAAGAACUGACCCCUGGUGGAUUAAAAUUCUUCUUUGAGCAGCUUCAGUUCUUGAUCCUUUUCUUUUGCAUGAUGUUAGCUCCGCAUGUCCCUGUGCCACUGGAAAUUUCUUUGUAGUUAUGAUUUAUUUCCCAACCACCUUGAGAGUUCCUUCUGUGAGCAGCUUCUCGUAACUUGCGUCUAAAAUAGGAAUUCUUGGCUCACGGUCCAUGUAAUACUGGGGUGUGUGUAUCAGUGAAUCACACGCAAUUUAGGCAAAUUAUUCAUGUGCGUACUUUACAAUUUUUUCUGGGAAAAGGGUUUGUUACCUUUCAUCAGAUUCUUAAAGGUAUAGGUGACUCAGUAAAGGGUCCCUUUAAAGACAAAGUCAAUUUCCUCUGCUAGCCAGACUUUUGUCUCACAUUUCGUCAACCACAUCCUGUUCUUUUUCUUAUAAUUGCUUCUCCUUUUCUUUCCUCUUUCUUAGAACACUCGAACUGAAAGAAUGUCUUGAAGAGGGCGGGAUGAAUAAUUUUCACAAGUAGAUGGGAGGUAGUUGCUACUCAGUUCUCAAAGCUUGUGGCUGAUGACCCAGGUCAGCUGUCUGAGCGAGAUACAGUAUUUCACUC